GCUUUUGUACACACCGCCCGUCGCUACUACCGAUUGAAUGAUUUAGUGAGGUCUUCGGACUGGUACGCGGCAUCGACUCUGUCGUUGCCGAUGCUACCGGAAAGAUGACCAAACUUGAUCAUCUAGAGGAAGUAAAAGUCGUAACAAGGUUUCCGUAGGUGAACCUGCGGAAGGAUCAUUA
rnacentral:rRNA from 1 species